GGCCAGGAGAGGACUGGAUAGGAAGCCUGGCUGGUGAAUGAUGCUUCUCAGGCAAGACUGAGACAAAUUUGGAGGCUCCUGUGUUGGUGCCCUGUAGCCUGGAGCCAAGCCACCGCAGACCUGGCUCCCCUUCACUUCAGGACUGCUGCAGAAAGCACUGGGUAUUUUUCCACUGGAGGAAGGCUUAGAGUGUAUGUGGUGAUAAAACUCCUCCUUGAAGAUGACUCAGCUGUUCUGAUCUUCUGCCAAAGUCCUAUUCAAGAGAGUUGAAGGAGGCUCCAGACAGGGAAGGUAGACUGCCUGCAGCGGGAAAGUUCUCUGUUUCCAGUCCAUCUUGUCAGUUCUACCUGCAAAGAGUAUCCCAAAUCUGACUAUCAGUCUCCAGCUCCGCUGUGUUGUCCUGGACCCCUGAAGCCAUUGUCCUAGACUACUAAGUCGUCUCCAUGCUUUCACACUCAACUUCCUAUUCAUCCUGCC
ensembl:lncRNA